AAGUCGUAACAAGGUUUCCGUAGGUGAACCUGCGGAAGGAUCAUUAACACGUAUCCAACGUUAAAACCCCCCCCGUGAACUUUCAAUCCUGCUCUUGUAACCCGCGUAGUUCGCAAUCUCUGGUAAAUCAUAGCCCGGAAAGUUGUUUUGAUUCAGAGACCUCUGGCUACGUGAGAACAAUGGAACAGUUACAAUCGAGCGGUAGUUUCAUAGGCAUUGUUUCCCCAAGCAGUCAGUGUCGGAAAGUGUCACUGAUUGUGCAAGGAUAGCGCUUCACGAUUCCUGUAGACCGUACACUCGGGCAGGAGCUAUGCCAAAGGGUCCCCAUGCCCCCUUAUAACCCCACAGUUUAAUGUAAAGCUCAAUGUAAUCCAUUGGGUAACAAUGGAUAUCUUGGUUCUC
rnacentral:misc_RNA from 1 species